CCAACUUUGUAGCUUUUAGAAAAGGGUUACAAUGUGCAGGAUACAUAUCAAGUUUUUACAACCUGGACAUUGUUCAGCCAUGUACACAUCAAAUUAUAGAGAAGAAUGUUUGAUUAAUCACAUAUUUCUUCUUUUGCUCUCUUCUACCCUCCAGUAAAUGGACAUUUUACCGCUUCAUGUUUGAAAACAGUUAAUCCAUGCUAUUCACCUGCCUUGUUCCAGUUGACUGUCUGGAACUGUUUUUUUCCAGCCAGUUUCUAUAGUCAUAUGUUAUUGCUACCACAUUGGCAUGGGCAUGGCACAGUGCUGUCUUUGAAUUUGUGACUGACAUAAUCAUCCCAACAAGUACAGCUUUAUAUUCUCAAACAUGUCCACACAACCUGUGUGUUUCCAUUUCUAAAUGUGAUUGUCUUGAAUUUACCCCCAUAACUGUUAUCCUUCAUCUGUCAAGCACCUCUACUCAUGGUUUUUGAAGUUGCCAUUUGUAAGUCGCUUUGGAAAUAACUGUGUCUGUUAAAUGAUUAAAUGUAAAUGACUCGGUGUGCACUGAUGAUCCUGUCAGUUAUGAUAUGGAUUUU